UUAGUCUUAAAAUUAACCAUUAGACAAUCGAAAAUCAACGAGUUCAAAUAAUAGAAAUACAUCUCAAAAUAAUAGUCUACAAACUGCGUGCCAGAAACUAGUGUCACAAGUACUAGGGAAACUAGUAGAAUGUAUAAAAUACCACUAUCCUAUUGUCUGAAACAGAGUAGACAAUACAUAACAACAACAAAAGAAGAGAACUCUGGUAUGCUGCUGAACGGCUCAGAAGGGGCAGCUCACCGUGAGAUCUCGAUCAGGAAUCAGGAACGCGUGACGGACGGGUAACUAGAUGCACCUGCCUCAGAUCCUGUACAGUUAAGUACAUAAGAGUAAUAUGAGUACAUAAAUAAUAUGUACCCAGCAAGUAUCCAGUCUAACCUCGAAGAAGUAAUAACGAGGGGUUUACUUGACACUUACUAAGGUCAAUAUCAAUAAUAUUUAAGGUUUACGCUAAGCAUGGAUAGCAUGAAUAUAGUGACAGUCUCAGAACAAGGAGAAACAAAAUAUAUCAAUUUCAGUCAUGUCAUAUAGUAAUUUACAUUUCAAAGCAUUUAAAAAGAGUAAAUCAUGAAUGAAUUCCAUAUAAAUAACAUCUGCACAUAAUACCAAGGUCGUACGGUCUGAUUCAAUAUAAUAAUAAUUGUGCACUGCCAGAGGGUCGAAUGGCGCGAACCAUAGGUGCAUCUAUUUCUACUGAGGCGAUCGGUCUGAUCCACAAAUAGCAAUUAUUAUCAAGUAAGCACACAUUGCUCAUUUAUAGUCAAAUAAAUUCAUACAAGUUCUCAAGUAAGUACUUACAUUCGUUUAUAUUUAUUUACAACUCCUAGCAUAUCCUAGUGAACUCAGUAGCAAGCAAAAACGUAAACAUUUACAAGUAUGACAUGAUACGGGCCCUAAGCUACCCAGACAAUUAGCAUAAUAGUAGCUACGCACGGACUCUCAUCACCACGUGCGUACGUAGCCCCCACAGAUAGUCAAAUACAUUUAUUUAAUUCACCUAGAGGAGUUAUUUCCCUCUUACGAUGUUAAAAAGGAGACUCACCUUGGUCCAAAGCUUACUACCAAUUUCAAGAACGCGCUCAAACCCUCAAUUCGGAGCCGAACGAUCCAAAACUAUUCAAACGGGGUAAGAACUAGUCAAUACAAGCUCAAGAGUUCAUAUCCUAACUAUUAAAGUAAUUUUCCAAUCCUAUAUACAAGUUACCUAAAAUCCAUCUCCGGACCCACGUGCCCGGAUUCCGGAAAUUGUCGAGGGAAGUUGUUACCCAUAACCUAAGGAUAAAAAAUAUAUGAUUUUACUUCAUUCCAUAACAAAUUUCGUAGUUAAAUCGUGUUUUUAUCAAAACCCUAGGUUUUACUCUAAACCCCCAAUUUCUUACUAAUUUAUAUGUUGUAAUCUACCCCCAACUAUAUAUUAAACCCACAAUAAGUAGACAUAACUUACCUCACAAUGCUAGGCUGAAAUCCCCUCUUUGGAAGCUCCUAAAUCGCCCAAGGAAUGAAUGAAAUAUGUCAAAAAUGACACAUUCCCGUAUUAAAUGAAGGCACUGCCUUCAGCGAUUACCGCACCUGCGGUUAGGGGACCGCAUAUGCGGUCUCGCUUCUGCGAGGGAAGGACCGCAUCUGCGGAACUGAGCCGGCUAGCUGGGGCCUUAUCUACGGUCUGGGGACCGCUUCUGCGGCAGAGGGGCCGUAUCUGCGAUGGAUGGGCUGCUUUUGCGGUCUCGCACCUGCGGCUGGCCAAUCGCAGGUGCGGUUAUGACAGAUGCCUGGAGCUUCGGCUCCUUCUAAAAUUUUCUAACCUAACUCGAGCCUCAUCCGAUUGACGCUCGGGGCCCCUGAGCCCCGGCCGAACAUACUGACAAGUUUGAAAUCAUAAAAUGGACUCGCUCGAACCCUUGGAACGCCCGAAACAAUGCUAAAUCUAGGAAUCACCCCUAAAACCAAUUGAAUCAAAUUUAUGAACUUCAAGUUCUUCAGUCUACCUCCAAUAAAACGAAACACACUUAUACUACUCGGAUUGACACCAAAUUUUGCGUACAAGUCUUAAAUGACAAUACAGAACUAUUCCCGGUCUCGAAAUUCUUUUCGGACCUCGAUAUCACAAAAAGCCGCUCCAAACCAAAUUUAAAGAACUUCAAAAUCCUUAAGGAAUCAACUUUCACUAUUAAGCGCCACAACACUCCCGGGUCAUCCAAAAUCCAAUCUGAACAUACGCCCAAGUCCGAAAUAAUCAUACAAACCUAUUGGAACCACCCUCAAAUACUGAUUCUGAGGCCGUUUACUCAAAACGUUGACCGAAGUCAAACUUGGCCUUUUAAACCAACCUUCAGGAAUCAAGUGUUCCGAUUUCAACCAAAACUUUUCUAAAUCCCGAACCAACCAUCCCCGCAAGUUAUAAAUCAGUAAAAGCAAGUACGGAAAGUCUCAUUUAGGAGAACGGAGUUUUAGAAAGCAAAACGACCAAUCGGAUCGUUACGCACACUUUUUAUUGUGCAGUUCACUUUCAAUAUCAAUGCUGUAUUAUUGCUUCAAACAUAAAAGUUCAUCAUACAUGUUUCGGACAAUUCACAUUUGUUUGUUCGAUCUGAUGCGCUUAGACUGAUUCAUAGCGCUAUGGCAGAACUUAAAGAGGCCAAUAUAUUUGAGAAGCCAAUUCAGUGUUAGUUUUCUCACAUGGCUAACUUCAUGUUACACUUUUAAAAGAAAUAUCAAUGUGACCAUUGAAAUGGAUAAAAGCAAUAUAUACCAUGAAUAUUGUCUAUAAGAAGUAUUAUGUGAGAUACACUACAUUACAUAUUUGUACCCCAUAAGUCGAAAUAACUUAAAAAAGUCACAUCUACCUAAUUAAGUUUUUAUUUUAUUUUUAUAGGUUCAAACGAUAUCUAAUCAUCUUGAUCUCGAUAAAUAAGUCAAUAUAGAAAAUUUUUAUUUUGUGUCUCAUACAAUUGACACUAAUUGUAUGAGACAUAUUUUUGUCUCACAGUUUUGUGGACCCAGAUUUUUGUGGAUCCAGAAGUGUAAGAUUGGGGUCCACAAAUUUGUGAGACAAAAAGAAGUCUCACACAACUAGUGUCAGUUAUAUGAGAAACGAAAUAAAACUUGUCGUCAAUAUAUGAUGAUCCACAUGCACUUGUACUUAAUUCUUUCUUAUAUAAUAAUAUAACUCGGUAUACAUGUGCAACGCACGUGCCGAAAUACUAGUUAGUAGAAAUACGUAAAGAAGAAUAUAGUAAAUGAAAGAUAUCAACUCUUUUUUUUUCAUUUUUUUUAUUUACUAGUUUAGAGCAAAUCAAGAGAUUUAAUUUCGCGUAUGACAAAAGAAAGGAAUGAGAAAACGUACGAUUGGACCCAUCGAAGCGAACCAAUGGAGCAAUCUUCCCCUAAUUGAUUGAUAUUCUAAUUUGGAAAGUAUUUC
rnacentral:lncRNA from 1 species